rnacentral:ncRNA from 1 species
ACGGCAGACACGGGGUGCCCCGCCGGGGCUGAGAUCACACCCGCGAACCUGCUCGAGCUCGUACUCGCGAAGGGAUGUCGACCUGAUGACGC